rnacentral:misc_RNA from 1 species
CCGAGUGCGGGCCCUCGCGGCCCAACCUCCCACCCUUGUCUCUCUACCCCUGUUGCUUUGGGCGGGCCCACCGGGGCCACCUGGUCGCCGGGGGACGCACGUCCCCGGGCCCGCGCCCGCCGAAGCGCUCUGUGAACCCUGAUGAAGAUGGGCUGUCUGAGUACGAUGAAAAUUGUCA